rnacentral:SRP_RNA from 10 species
GUUUGGCACAGGUAGGUGCCCAAUGGGUGGGUAGAUGGAUGGAUGGAUGGAUGGGUGGAUGGAUGAGAUGAGUGACUUACUGCAGGUCUCACAGUUAUAAAGUAACUCUUCCUGAUAGCUCACACUGGCCACCAAAGACACAUUAAACACUGAUUUGAGAGGUACUCCGUGGACCAAAUUACAUGAGCAAAGUCUUAGAAUUAGGAAUUAUUGCAGCAUGGAUGAGAGGCACUCAUUUUAUGUUCUCUUUCAGUAUUUUUCCCAACAAGAUCCUGAGAAGGAGGAUCUGGAUGGAGGUUCUGCCAGAGCCCCCUGGAGCAGAGCCAGGAGGUUGAGUAGGGAGUUGCGCCCCACAGCCCAUAUGAGCAGGCAGGAGCAGGCCAAGCCUGAGGGUUGGGCCUCAGAGGCCUGGUCUGGCCGUAUUUGGUUUUCAAGGAACUGGAAGGCUUCUCACCUCCUCUGCUGUCCAGGCACAGAAGCAAAGCCACCCACAGUUGCUGAGUCAGGGAGGCCCCUAGGGCAGGAACAGAGGCCCCACAACGGGGUAACUUGAACACAGUGGUUCAGAGCCUGGUCUCUUAGUGUCAAGAAGAUAUGGUGCCGGGAACAGUGGUGUGUCCCUGUGGUUCCUGCUCCUCAGAAGGCUGAGGCAGGAGGAUAAGCCUAGGGAUUCUUGAGCCCAAGAGUUCUAGGCUGUAGUGUGCUAUAUUGAUCGAGUGUCUGUGCUAAGUUCAGCUUCAAUAUGUGACCUCCUGUAAGCAAGGGUGUCUAAGGAGGGGUGAACAGGCCCAGGAUGAAAAUGGAGCAGGUCAAAACUGUGCUGAUCAGUGGAGGGAUUGUGACUGUGAAUAGCCACUGCAUUCCACCCUAGACAACAUAGUGAGACUCCGUCUCUAAAAGCA